CGACGCGUCGCGGGAGAGCCGGUCAGCGCCAACCGAAGUACGAACGGACAGCGCCCGACCGGCACCGAAGGAGCAAGCCUCCCCGCCAAUCUCUCAGGUCACCACACCGCGAUGACGAG
rnacentral:ncRNA from 2 species